rnacentral:rRNA from 1 species
AAGGAGGAGCUUUGCUCCUCUGGAUUAGUGGCGAACGGGUGAGUAAUACGUGAGCAAUGUGCCCUUGACUCUGGGAUAAGCGCUGGAAACGGCGUCUAAUACCGGAUACGACCCUCGGAGGCAUCUCCUGAUGGUGGAAAGAACUUCGGUCAAGGAUCAGCUCACGGCCUAUCAGCUAGUUGGUGAGGUAACGGCUCACCAAGGCGACGACGGGUAGCCGGCCUGAGAGGGUGACCGGCCACACUGGGACUGAGACACGGCCCAGACUCCUACGGGAGGCAGCAGUGGGGAAUAUUGCACAAUGGGCGCAAGCCUGAUGCAGCAACGCCGCGUGAGGGACGAAGGCCUUCGGGUUGUAAACCUCUUUUAGCAGGGAAGAAGCGAAAGUGACGGUACCUGCAGAAAAAGCACCGGCUAACUACGUGCCAGCAGCCGCGGUAAUACGUAGGGUGCAAGCGUUGUCCGGAAUUAUUGGGCGUAAAGAGCUCGUAGGCGGUUUGUUGCGUCUGCUGUGAAAACCCGAGGCUCAACCUCGGGCUUGCAGUGGGUACGGGCAGACUAGAGUGCGGUAGGGGAGAUUGGAAUUCCUGGUGUAGCGGUGGAAUGCGCAGAUAUCAGGAGGAACACCGAUGGCGAAGGCAGAUCUCUGGGCCGUAACUGACGCUGAGGAGCGAAAGCAUGGGGAGCAAACAGGCUUAGAUACCCUGGUAGUCCAUGCCGUAAACGUUGGGAACUAGAUGUGGGGACCAUUCCACGGUCUCCGUGUCGUAGCUAACGCAUUAAGUUCCCCGCCUGGGGAGUACGGCCGCAAGGC